AAGUACUGUAGAAUACUAUUUAAGUAGCUGCCGGAUAAUUUGCAGACCUAAAAAAAGCAAGAAGUUAAAUAAUACACCGUUUAAUUUGAGUAUGAUUUACAUAUUAUUAUAUUUCAGGUAUUAUGAAGACCAUUGGCCUGUUUAGAAAAAUCUGAAGAUUGGUAGUAUAAACUUGUUUUACAUACAUUUAUUUUCUUAUAGCUCCUAUGCAACAGAGAUUUUUAUGAAUGUUGUUAUGUCCUAUUAUUCUUUACUCUGAUGUAAUGUGAGACAGCUUGCCACAGCGCGCUCAUGACCUUAUGCAGUUGCGAGCGCCGUAAAAUUUACUAAUCUAGUCUAUAUCGUGUAAGUGGGGUUUUUGGCUGCCGAGUGCUUUUUUUAAUAGUUUUCUUUCUUAUUGAACGAUUUUUACUGCACCUGAGUCUUCGUGUUCGACGUCAGAUUAUAGACAUGCUUGCUUCCCUUGAAUGCUACUACCUUCCUGCCUUUGACGUCAAAGGCAAAGCCGCUCUCAUCAACGUUGUAAAUGCGGCUUCCAUCCUCCUGAAGAGAAGGGUCCAUGGCCACAAUAUGUUCAUGGUCCCUCAGCUCUUUGAACCAUUUUGAUAUGGCCUGGGGUGUCACUGUCACCCGUUUCUUCCCAAGGCCCAUGGUCGACCUCAGGGUGAGCUCAAGAUGUCUCUCAAAUAGCCGGUAUACCCAGGCCACAGAUGGCUUGAUGUUCCUGUUGUCUUUCUCUGGUGGCCGCCGCAAGGCGGCAAAUCGAUGAUGGCUUGGGCAGUUCUCCGGAUAUCAGCCAUCAGCCCGAAUCCAGAUUUGGUCCUGACCAAUAUGAACUUUACAAGUUUGUCCUCUUCUUCAGGUAAAAAAAGGCACAUCUUUUUAGGUGCUAGAGGUGUCUUGCCCGCUAUUUUGUCAUUCAACGUAGAAAGUGAAAUGUUAAAAUUCUUAGCAGCCUGUCUUUGAGUCAUUUGACCUGUCUUGACACUUUCAAUUGCCUGGAGAAUCACCUUUGGAUCAUGUAACUUUUUUUCUCUUUUGGGAGUUUUUCUCUCCUUUUCGCCAGUCUUUUUCGGUCGUCCCUUGAUUUUGUUCCGAUCUUUGUUUCUGUAAUGAACACAUGAGGGACUUUUCUUAGUGAUUAAUUAUCUAUCUAAAAAAUUUUAUCACUACUGUCAUCAUCAUCAGUGUCACUUUCGAAUUCUUCGAUGGCUAAUUAUCUCUAGAUCUAGAUCUAUUUGUAUUUGAAUUUGGCCUUUUCAGUAUUACUGGCAUAUAAGCUCUAAUUCUGGGUUAUUUAAAUUAUGCACAAAAUCAUAAUUCUUUUUCAUUUAACCAUUGGCAUUGUAACAUGUCUGCCCGAAAGAUGAGAAUCUACCGCUUUUUUUUUUAACUAUCCGGGCACCCCCCCCUUUGGGCAAAAAUGGCUUGACUGAACUGUACAUUCUCUUUCUCCCUCGACAGGGCUCCAUAUUUGAAUAACUCUCCAGCUUUCAGAGCUUAACAAAACAUUAUAAUAAAGCUUCCCCUUCCUUCAUUAAACAAACAAAGUGUACUCUUCCGGGGGAAGAUCGUAAUGCUGUUUUACUCACCUGAUGGAUGAAAACGCUGUCUUAAUGAAUCUUUGAGCAAAACACCGCCUUGACUGUUGUGUCAACUGAAGUAAGGGAGGUUGCUUCCUGUUUUUUUGCUGCACUUUUGGGAUAGGAUUCAAAAACAAAAUUUUUAAAGAUUUUUUCGCGCUCUAGUGCCGGCAAACAAAAAACGAAACCUGCUGCCCGAACUGGUAAUGUUACUCUAGCUAUCUGCUUGUGUGUUGUUUUUUAUUUUUUUUUUAUUUUGUGAUGCUUGACACUUGAUGGAUAGAACUGACAAUGUGACUUUUGAAAUCGACCUGAAGCAAUUUUCGCUUUUUUGGGUUUUUUUUGUGUGACUCUUGACACUUGAUGAUGGCCGAAUGUCAACUUGUGACUCUUGGUAUUGACCGGAAGGAUCUACUCAUGCUCAAGACGAGGCAAGUGCCAUUGGAUUUUUACAGCAACGAUCUCUGUUACGGCAAAACUCUUCAAAUUAUUCGACAUUUGGCCCUGUUAUGACUUUAAUUAGAACUGGAAGGGGAGACGAAAGUACGUUUCAAUGUCUUGCACAUAAAUCUAACAACAUUUUUAAAAAGGAAAAACUCCAAUUGGGAAAACUAAUUUAAAGUACCAAAAAACUGUUUAGCUUUUAUUCUUGUGGGCCUUUAAGAUUCCUGUUACCACUUCUGUGGAUUGUGGACUCUCUUACAAAACAUUUGCAGUGGUUUACUUAUUUCCGAGACAUUUGUUCUAAUCACCUCGUCAACAAUCCAUAAAUUGGUGGACCAGCGCUUGUGGUGGAGAUAGACGAGUCUCUAAUUGCUCGGAGAAAAAACAACAUUGGACAUGUCGUGGAGCAUAGGUGGGUGUUUGACGGCAUUUUCCCUGCCACAGGUCAAGGGUUUCUUACCCACACACUGGACAAAUCCACCGCGACAUUACUGUCUUUUGUAACCAGAUAUAUUGAGCCAGCAGUAUCAUCCAUUCAGAUGGCCUCGCCUCCUACAACAAUAUAUAUGGACACCCUCCCCUGAAUCCCUCUUUUCAGCACCUCGUGGUUAUUCAUCAAGAAAACUUUGUGGACCCUGUGACUGGGGCAUGGAAAAACUGCAAGAGAUGUUUUAAGCACUCGUGUGACAUUCAAAACACGACACUUGACAACCACCUUGAUGAAUUCAUGUGGCGCGAGCUGCACGGCAAAACAGGACAGGCCGCUCCAGACAAUAUUUGUCUUCACCUGUCACAGCAGUUUCCACUACAGUAAAGAUCUGUCAGUUCCUGAAGGACCAUGGAAGCAGUAGCGAUGGCGAAUCGUCCAGUUGCAGCUGUAGAUGUAUCAAAGACAAAAAAGAUUUGAUCAUACUUGCGUCUUCGUGGCAUUGACUCUGCAUCUGGGGGAAGCAGCACAGCGACCGAAACAAAAACUCCAAAUAGAACGGAAGAGGACACGGUUCAAGGAGUACAAAAUAGACAGCAGGAUCAUGUGCCGAGAAGCCUUCAAGUUUCUCCUAGCGUUUUAGGGUAAUGGAACAUACAACGUUUCGGAGAAUGAGGAAAUUACUCACACUAUAUGUACGUUGUGGUGUGCAAGCCAAUGACUGACUUGUGCUUCACAUUGGUUCAGAGAUCAUAAACUUACAUGACGAUUCUAAAUUCAAAUUGGAGGCCCUGGAAAUUCAGCGUGGCCUCCUCCAGCUGGUUCAGGCUGGGCGUGCCAAGUACCGGGAAGAGGUGGCAAAGGCCAAGGCUGUUGUCUCCCAGCAUGUCCUACAAGGUUUGAGACCUGUUCAAGGGGUAGAGUGGAUGCACUAUUCCUUCGAUUUUGCUCAGAAAGUGCAUUAUCCCUCAAGCCCCUGCAACCUGGUCCCAUUUAUUUCCUGGUGCCGAGGAAGUGCAAUGUAUUUGGAAUUUGCUGUGAAGGCUUUCCCAAACAAGUCAACUACCUCAUUGACGAGGGUGUGUUGGUAGGCAAGGGAAGCAACACAGUGAUCUCACUCCUCCAUCACUUCUUCGAGACUCAUGGGCUUGGGGAGUCAGCAGUAUCACUACAUUGUGAUAACUGCUCAGGCAAAAAUAAAAAUGGGUUUGUUCUGGCGCACUUAAGACGGAGGGUUCUGAGGGGCCUUCACAAAGAAAUCACCCUGAACUUCAUGAUUGCUGGCCACGCCAAGUUCUCGCCAGAUCUGUGCUUUGGCCUCCUCUAGAGGAAGUUCCAGCAGGCUGAGGUUCAUUGUCUGGAGGGUAUGUGCAGAGUGGUGGAGGAAAGUUCAUCGGUCAACGUGCCUCAACUGGCUGGAACUGAGGAUGGAACUGUCUCUGUACUGACGUACAACUGGCAGACCUUCCUGGCCGACUUUCAUACUGUGCCAGGCAUGAAAAAAAUACAUUAUUUUUGUUUUGCUGCUGACCAUCCAGGUGUAGUCAAACAUGCUGAAAGCUUUGGGGAUCCUCUUGUUUCAAUGACACUCUUACGAGGAACAAUGAAACAAGGUUUCCUCUCCAUAUUGCCUGCACCAAGACUGUCACAGCAGAGAAGGGAGUAUCUGUAUAACUCCUUUAGGGAAUUUGUUACUGAUAAUAAGAAGGACAUCACCUGCUCUCCUCCAUAAUCAUUUAUUGCAUGUUAAAAUUUUUGUUGAUUGUAUUGUACCAACAGUAACUGUAUUGAUUAGCUUUUAUGUGUGUGGGCGUGUGUCUGCCGUCGUAAGGGAAAACGAUGAAUGGUCCUGCGCAGGUAGCGAGGCAAAU